GAUAUAUAGAUUAAUAGUUAGGGUUGAUACUUAAGACAGAGUUGACAGAUAAGAAAUCCUAGUCAUUGGCCAGCAGAACUGUAAUUACUAUAAGACUCUGUGUGUUAUUUUGGGCGCUCAUGAGCAGGGCUCAGGCGGAUUGGCAGAAAGAUUUAUUGUUACACCUAUGCAUGUGCCAGACAUGGUCACUGCCAUGAAGUUCUUCUGUAUCUCAUUUCCAGAUGUUAAGAAUCAGAUGACCCUGUUUUGGAACAUUGUGCAGAUCUUUCCACUGCAUAUCUUCUGGUGUUAGUCCCUCUCUUGAGCUCUUGCUCAUCUGAAAUUGAGACUUUCUCCUGGAGUUCUCAACCGUCUUGGUUUUUGUUUUUGUUGUUGUUGUUGUUUUUCUGUCCUUUAGGUAUUUUGGAGAGGGGCUGUGGGGGGUUGUCGUUGUUUUGAGUAGGCUCUUGCCAAAUUGCCUAGCCUGGCCUUGAAUUUCCAACCUUCCAGACUGUAACUUCAAAUGCUGGGAUUAUAGGCAAAUAUGCUAAUAUGCCUAGCACCUGAUCCUUCCUGCCCUCCUGUUUACUUUUUGUCAUACACUAUGAUCCUCUAGCCCAUUACACAAUCAUUUAUUUGUCUUUUCCCCAAUGCAAGUGUGAGCUCCAAGACUAUGCUGUUUGGGUUUUGUCAGUUUAACACAAGCCUUGACAUAUGUGGGAAGAGAAAGCUUAGUUGAGAAAAGUACUUUCAUUAGAUUGGCUUAUAUGCAAGUCUAUGGGGGUAUGGUCUUGAUUAAUGAUUGAUGAGUGGUAGCCCUGAUGGCUGUGGGUGGCCCCAUUCAGAUACAGGUGGUCCUGAGUUUUCUAAGAAAAUAGGCUGAGAAAGCCAUGAGGAGUAAGGCAGUAAGCAGCACUCCUCCAGGCCCUCUGCUUCAUUUCCUGCUUCCCUUCGCUUCCCUCAGUAAUGGACAGUUACCUGAAAGUAUACAUUGGAAUAAACCCUUUCCUCUCUGAGCUGUUUUAGGUCACCAUGUUUUAUGCCAGCAACAGACUCUAAGUCAGACAAAGACCAAUCAAUAGAUGUUUCUGAAUGAAAAACUUAAAACUGUUCAAAAUUUAUGGAUGCUUGAAAUGUAUUCGGUCCUUGGAUUUUGAAGUUGUUUAUUAAAGGCUACAGAAGACAGUUGUUCCUAGUCAUUAUGGAUGGACUGAGUUCUGCCAUCUCAGGAGACAACUGAGAUCACCACUUUCUAAGGAAAAGGAAGUUGGGAGAAGUGAUACAACUGUCAAAACACAUGGAAUAAACAGAAUUAUGAAAUAUUA